UACGAAGGGGGCUAGCGUUGUUCGGAUUUACUGGGCGUAAAGCGCACGUAGGCGGAUCGUUAAGUCAGGGGUGAAAUCCUGGAGCUCAACUCCAGAACUGCCUUUGAUACUGGCGAUCUUGAGUCCGGAAGAGGUGAGUGGAACUCCUAGUGUAGAGGUGGAAUUCGUAGAUAUUAGGAAGAACACCAGUGGCGAAGGCGGCUCACUGGUCCGGUACUGACGCUGAGGUGCGAAAGCGUGGGGAGCAAAUAGG
rnacentral:rRNA from 1 species